UCGCGGGCGACUGCGAAUCUGGAGGAAGCCGAAGGCAAAGCGCUGGCCUGACGAACAGGAAGCGGAUAUGAGGCGUUGCAACGGGGUAAGACGGCCAAUAUCGUCAAAGCCCGAAACUUGUACGGAACGUUGCAACGUAUGUAGGCGAUCACCAAGAUCCGCGUC
rfam:Acidiferrobacter thiooxydans strain ZJ Contig_170, whole genome shotgun sequence.